UUGCAUCCGCGGAUAGACUUUAACAAUCUAGUGCUGUUCUUUUGCUUUGCACUAGGAUGCGAAAGAAAGACAUCCCUGCGCUUUCUGUCUUUGUGGCAGCCCAGAUUGAACAGGGGAUUACAUCU